rnacentral:rRNA from 1 species
UAUUGGACAAUGGAUGGAAAUCUGAUCCAGCCAUGCCGCGUGCAGGAAGACGGCCCUAUGGGUUGUAAACUGCUUUUGUAUGGGCGCAAUAAGGACUACGUGUAGUUUGAUGAGAGUACCAUACGAAUAAGCAUCGGCUAACUCCGUGCCAGCAGCCGCGGUAAUACGGAGGAUGCGAGCGUUAUCCGGAUUUACUGGGUGUAAAGGGCGCGCAGGCGGGAUAAAAAGUCAGUGGUGAAAUCCUACAGCUUAACUGUAGAACUGCCUGUGAUACUUUUAUUCUUGAGUUCGGGAGAGAGAGACGGAAUUCCAGGUGUAGUGGUAAAAUACGUAGAUAUCUGGAAGAACACCAGUUGCGAAGGCGGUCUCUUGGUCCGACACUGACGCUGAGGCGCGAAAGCGUGGAGAGCAAACA